UUUUAUGGAGAGUUUGAUCCUGGCUCAGGACGAACGCUGGCGGCGUGCCUAAUACAUGCAAGUCGAGCGAAUGGAUGGGAGCUUGCUCCCUGAAAUUAGCGGCGGACGGGUGAGUAACACGUGGGCAACCUGCCCUGUAGACUGGGAUAACUUCGGGAAACCGAAGCUAAUACCGGAUAAUCUUUGGAGCCUCAUGGUUCUAAAGUAAAAGUUGGGUUUUACCUAACACUACAGGAUGGGCCCGCGUCGCAUUAGCUAGUUGGUAAGGUAACGGCUUACCAAGGCGACGAUGCGUAGCCGACCUGAGAGGGUGAUCGGCCACACUGGGACUGAGACACGGCCCA
rnacentral:rRNA from 1 species